rnacentral:tRNA from 1 species
GAACAAUGACUCAGUGGUAAUGUGCUUGCUUGGCAUGCAAAGGGCCCCCGGUUCAAUCCCAGACAUCUCCA